rnacentral:piRNA from 1 species
CAGCCUUACUGUAGGAGUUCUGG